CGGCGCGUCAGGACCCCGGAAGCCGCCCCGUUGGGUGGAGGGAGAGAUGGAGAAUCCAGAAGCUCAGACCCAGAAAUGAGAUCUACGUUGACAAGGCUGGUUUUGAAUCCCUGGCCUCAAGCAGUCCUCCCACCUCAGCCUCCCAAAGUGCUGGGAUUACAAGUGUGAGCCACCAUGCCUAGAUGAUACAGGCCUUCUCAAGCACAGACGCACCUUCGCCUUCUUCAUUGUCGGUGUCCUCACCACCAUUCCUGUCUUCACUGUCAAGGUUCAAGUCAUCCGGAAGGUCCAAGGCCUCGGGUUCUGGCAGCUUUUCCUGAUUGCCAUGACUUUCAACUAGUGCCAUUUGUGAGUCUCUUUGCUCAACCUCCAUCCCUGGAAGAAUGAACAAGGACUCUAGGCCCUGCAAAUGAACUGACACCUGGGACAAGCAACUCAGUGCAGAAGAGCACACUUCAA